rfam:Desulfotomaculum hydrothermale Lam5 = DSM 18033, WGS project CAOS01000000 data, contig: ABX_2590_3
GCGGGUGUAGCUCAAUGGUAGAGCAUCAGCUUCCCAAGCUGAGGGUUGCGAGUUCGAUCCUCGUCACCCGCU